rnacentral:rRNA from 1 species
AUUGAACGCUGGCGGCCGGCCUAACACAUGCAAGUCGAGCGGAGCGGCGGACGGGUGAGUAAUGCCUAGGAAUCUGCCUGGUAGUGGGGGAUAACGUCCGGCAACGGGCGCUAAUACCGCAUACUAUCAGAUGAGCCUAGGUGGGAUUAGCUAGUUGGUGGGGUAAAGGCCUACCAAGGCGACGAUCCGUAACUGGUCUGAGAGGAUGAUCAGUCAAAAGUGAACGGAGACACGGGCCAGAUUCCUAUGGGAGGCAGCAGUGGGAAAUAUUGGACAAGGGGCGAAAGCCUGAUGCAGCCAUGCCGCGUGUGUGAAGAAGGUCUUCGGAUUGUAAAGCACUUUAAGUUGGGAGGCGUUACCAACAGAAUAAGCACCGGCUAACUUCGUGCCAGCAGCCGCGGUAAUAC